UACAGAGGUCCCAAGCGUUGUUCGGAUUCACUGGGCGUAAAGGGUGCGUAGGCGGUCGGGUAAGUCUGACGUGAAAUCUUCAAGCUCAACUUGGAAACUGCGUCGGAUACUAUUCGGCUCGAGGAAUGGAGGGGAGACUGGAAUACUUGGUGUAGCAGUGAAAUGCGUAGAUAUCAAGUGGAACACCAGUGGCGAAGGCGAGUCUCUGGACAUUUCCUGACGCUGAGGCACGAAAGCCAGGGGAGCAAAC
rnacentral:rRNA from 1 species